GCCAGGCAUGGUGGUGCACACCUGUAAUCCCAGCAGCUUGGGAGGCUGAGAGAGGAGGAUCAUGAGUUCAAAGACAGACUCAGCAAUUUAGCAAGGCUCUAAGUAACUCAGUGAGAUCCUAUCUCAA
rnacentral:sRNA from 1 species